rnacentral:rRNA from 1 species
AAGCGGAGGAAAAGAAACUAACAAGGAUUCCCCUAGUAACGGCGAGUGAACCGGGAAGAGCUCAAAUUUGUAAUCUGGCGUCCUCAGGGCGUCCGAGUUGUAAUCUACAGAAGUGUUUUCCGUGCCGGACCAUGUCCAAGUCCCUUGGAACAGGGUAUCAAAGAGGGUGACAAUCCCGUGCUUGACAUGAUCCCCGGUGCUAUGUGAUACAUUUUCUACGAGUCGAGUUGUUUGGGAAUGCAGCUCAAAAUGGGUGGUGAAUUCCAUCUAAAGCUAAAUAUUGGCGAGAGACCGAUAGCGAACAAGUACCGUGAGGGAAAGAUGAAAAGCACUUUGGAAAGAGAGUUAAACAGUACGUGAAAUUGUUGAAAGGGAAACGAUUGAAGUCAGUCGUGACCAUUGGUUUCAGCCGGCUCUGCCGGUGUAUUACCUUUGGUCGGGUCAACAUCAGUUUGGAUCGGUGGAUAAGGGUAGCAGGAAUGUGGCACCUCCGGGUGUGUUAUAGCCUGUUGCCGCAUACAUCGGUCUGGACUGAGGAAUGCAGC